rnacentral:rRNA from 1 species
GUGCCAGCAGCCGCGGUAAUACCGGCAGCCCGAGUGAUGGCCGAUCUUAUUGGGCCUAAAGCGCCCGUAGCUGGCUGCGCAAGUCCGUCGGGAAAUCCACGCGCUCAACGUGUGGGCGUCCAGCGGAAACUGUCCGGCUUGGGGCCGGAAGACCCGAGGGGUACGUCCAGGGUAGGAGUGAAAUCCUGUAAUCCUGGACGGACCGCCGGUGGCGAAAGCGCCUCGGGAGGACGGACCCGACAGUGAGGGACGAAAGCCAGGGUCUCGAACCGGAUUAGAUACCCUGGUAGUCC